rnacentral:rRNA from 1 species
GACGAACGCUGGCGGCGUGCCUAAUACAUGCAAGUAGAACGCACAGUUUAUACCGUAGCUUGCUACACCAUAGACUGUGAGUUGCGAACGGGUGAGUAACGCGUAGGUAACCUGCCUGGUAGCGGGGGAUAACUAUUGGAAACGAUAGCUAAUACCGCAAAAUAUUAAUUAUUGCAUGAUAAUUAAUUGAAAGGUGCAAUUGCACCACUACCAGAUGGACCUGCGUUGUAUUAGCUAGUAGGUGAGGUAACGGCUCACCUAGGCGACGAUACAUAGCCGACCUGAGAGGGUGAUCGGCCACACUGGGACUGAGACACGGCCCAGACUCCUACGGGAGGCAGCAGUAGGGAAUCUUCGGCAAUGGACGAAAGUCUGACCGAGCAACGCCGCGUGAGUGAAGAAGGUUUUCGGAUCGUAAAGCUCUGUUGUAAGAGAAGAACGGGUGUGAGAGUGGAAAGUUCACACUGCGACGGUAUCUUACCAGAAAGGGACGGCUAACUACGUG